rnacentral:rRNA from 1 species
GGAUCAUUACCGAGUUUACAACUCCCAAACCCCUGUGAACAUACCAAUUGUUGCCUCGGCGGAUCAGCCCGCUCCCGGUAAAACGGGACGGCCCGCCAGAGGACCCCUAAACUCUGUUUCUAUAUGUAGCUUCUGAGUAAAACCAUAAAUAAAUCAAAACUUUCAACAACGGAUCUCUUGGUUCUGGCAUCGAUGAAGAACGCAGCAAAAUGCGAUAAGUAAUGUGAAUUGCAGAAUUCAGUGAAUCAUCGAAUCUUUGAACGCACAUUGCGCCCGCCAGUAUUCUGGCGGGCAUGUCUGNUCGAGCGUCAUUUCAACCCUCAAGCCCAGCUUGGUGUUGGGACUCGCGAGUCAAAUCGCGUUCCCCAAAUUGAUUGGCGGUCACGUCGAGCUUCCAUAGCGUAGUAGUAAAACCCUCGUUACUGGUAAUCGUCGCGGCCACGCCGUUAAACCCCAACUUCUGAAUGUUGACCUCGGAUCAGGUAGGAAUACCCGCUGAACUUAAGCAUAUCA